rnacentral:lncRNA from 1 species
AGACUUCCAGUUCCGGGUUCCGCUGAUCAGAAGCGGACAAGCAAACAGCGGAUGUGCAGUUCCUCUCUUCGCCGAACCCGGUUUUCCCUUUCGGAGCAGCGCGACCGAUUUCCGGUUUCCCCGCCGCAACCACCGUUACCCCCCCCCCGCCCCAAUCCCCGGCGACUCCAGCGACGUCACCGGUUCAGCUCCUGACCUUUCGGCGAACCGCAGAACCACAGGCGACCCGUUCGACGUCAUCACUCCCCGCCCAGAUGUCGCUGUGACAUCACCCCGCACGUGCCUGCGCUGGCACCGCGUCGUCCUGGCGAGCGCCUCCUCGCGGCGGAAGGAGAUCCUGGGGUUCGCUGUGCGAGACAUGUCGGCGGGGUUUCACGUGAGUGACACUUGGUCCCCACGGGAUUGACAGCGACUAGCGGAGUGGCAUGUGGACGUAGCUUCAGGUGACCUCACUGACCCCGCCCCUGACUCCACCCCUUGUGAUGACCCCACCACUGACCCACAGGCCUUGGAGGGGCUGAUCCUGGAGAAGUCAAAGGACCAGGAGGACGCCAUGGGGGGUGCUGUACAGGCUGAGCAGGAAGCAGAGCAGCACAGCGUCAUCAUGAGGGUAGCCAUCUUCACCUGGGGCAUCCACGGAGGCCCUGCCCAGGAAGUGACUUUCUCUCUACUGUAGGAGGAGCUGAUCCACGACUACUUGGACAACAGCACACCAGCGAAGGAUGGGACAAGGCCUGGGGCCUCCGCCAUCCAUGCGUGGGGAGUGAUGCUGGUAGAGGGCAAAUUGGUGACGUCAUCAAUGCAGCGGGCUUCCCACUCAACCACUUUAGCCGCAAGCUUGCAAGGGCAGCUGCCAGAGACAGGAAGUGACAUCGCUGUGGAGAGGGCAGCAGGAAGUGAGGUGGAAGAAAAGUGUUUUGAAACUGACCCUACAGAUAAAAGAGUUCAUCAUGAAUGCGAUACCCUCCUAUACAGUUGUUAGAAGCAACCCUCCAUCUCCAACUCCAAAAAUAAAUGAAAACCAAACCACACAGUUGGAAAUCAGGGGUCUGCAACAACACAAGGAAGCAAGCAACCCGUGAGAAAGCACUGGCAUGGAUGAAAACAGACUCACUGGAAAGAUGCAAAGCAAUGUCAGGUUACACAACAAAAGGCAAUUACAGUCAUAUGAGGGAGUGUUCGAAAAGUUGUAAUUUGAAAACUGUUUUUGGUUGUCCUUUAGUUGGCCUCCUCUGUAAAUUGUGACAGACAUCUCCUGACAACACUUAAAGCAUCUCAAACCAUCCUUGCCCUGAUCUAUGAGUUCUCAGAACAGAAGGACUACUGAGCCAGGCGUGGUAGCACAUGCCUGUGAUCCUACAACUCAGAAGACAGAAGAGGAAUUCUAGGUCAGCCUGGGCUAGACAGACAGCAAGACUCUUGUUUUGUUUUGAAAGGCUGGUGAGGUAGUUCAGCGGGUUAACUGCCUGGUCUAAGCCCAGUGACGUGAGUUUGUGUGCUGUGGAGCUUCUGCAAACCCUGCCCCUGCCAAAUAAAAACUCGUAAUUUAUAACUCACAAAAA